GUGUGUGUAUUUUUUAAAAGUUUUCAGUGUAACGAGUAUAUUGGGAUCACAGUUGCGUGUGUUCGAUUAGAAAGGAUCUACUUGAAAAUGAAACUCGGAUUUUUCGUUACUUCCCUGGGAACAAUGACCAAUGUACGUCCUUGUAACAAAGGACCCCAAAUUUCUGGUACACUGUCGACGAACGUUAAAGCCGUUUUGAAGAUGCAACGAUUCUCUUCCGUCCAAUAAGAAAUAAAAUCAAACACUACAAAGACUACGAAAAACUAUAAGAACGUAGUAUAAUACGUCAUCGGCCGUGGAAAUAUCAGGAGAUAAGGAUCUAUCAUUGAGAGAUUGACCAUGACAAAGGAGGCUACGUUGUAAGCUUAACAAAUAGUCUAAUGCAAAUUAAGACUAUUCGUUAAGUUUUUGUUUAGUUAAUUUAAUUUCUUUUUGCAUUCUUUUGAAUAAAUAUCUAUACGAAUAAUUAACGACGAAGUUGACUGAGCAAUAUCGUUUCGGUAUUGAUCGAAUCUUGGACUUAUGAUAGAAGAAAGAAAUGAAAAACAAAACAAAAAAAACAAGAAAAAAAUUAAAUGACCGCUCGUUUAUUCUUUCUAUCAAGGCUAUUCUGAAUAAAUAAUACAGGAAGUAGUUUCCUGAUCAAUCGAAUAGCGGAAAGAACACACUCCUCAUUAAUAGCCUCAGGCUGCGAUAUUUUUCCAUCAAAAUCUUCAAGGUCUUCCCACUCAGUGAUAUAUAUAUAUAUACAUAUGUAUAUAUAUAUAUAUAUCGAAUGAAUCGAAGGUUAUCUUAAAAAUUGCUUACCUUCUUUCUCGAGGAUCACCACCAUUGGUUCAGCCUCCUGCAAGAUGUGUUUCAACCUCGUCAAUGGGAAUUCAGGGUCCAAAGGUCAUUUCCCGUACCUCGCCGUUAACAUCUAACAAAUCAAAAAAUCGAAGGGUACCCAUCUAGAACCAGACAUCAAAAAUGGCAUUGAAAGAGAAUAUUAUUGUGAUUUGAGAUGCAAGGAGUGAAAUGACUACGAAAUAAUCAUGGAGACUAUGGCAUAGAUCGACCGUUUACGUAAUCGUUUGUAGAAAAUACGAAAGUUGGUCAACCAGUGUAUCAACUACCAACGAAAAGUAUCGUGAGAUAUUGGCAAAAUACUUCGGGAAUAAUACAUAUAUAAACGUUAUAUAUUCUAAGCAAGAAAGUUGAUCAACCAAUGGAUUAACUAACAGAGAGGGGUAUUUAUAAAUAGUAAAAUAUUGGACGAAAUACUUCAGAAAUUAUGCACAUGUAAAUGUUAUACUUAUAUCUUACUUAUCUCAAAUUUUUUACAGCUUACGAAGUCUCAAGAAACUAUCUAACCUGGUCGCAUACGUGAAUUAUGAUCGCUACAUUGCUGUAUCUCUAGAACUGAAAUUAUAUAUACUAUAACGUGACUAAUUGACACUUUACUGCGAGACUAUCUUAAAGUAAAUUAAACGCUCGUGUAAAAUGUACUCGAGAAAAAUGAAACUUAUAAGGAACAUUAGAACAUAUAUUCAUGAACACAGGGUCUGACUGAAAAUGAAAUCUGAUGAUUAUCAAAGAUAUUUGAAAAUUCGCGAUAAUUUUAAAAGAUAAAGAAGAAUGAUUUAAGAGGAAGGAAGUUGCGAUAAGAUUUCUUUCAUUGACGUAUUAAAUUUUUUUCGUGUAUAAACCUUGAGAAAGAUUGUAUUAUUAGCUUUAAAAACUUUCGACGGUCGUUUUGUCUUAAAAAUGAUAGAUAUUAAUUUAUUUCCAACGAUGAAAAAUCUCAAGUGAACUUUCAUAGAUUAGAUUGAAAAUAACAUUCCUAUAUUCGCCAAUUUUUACACAUUGAAACUUUAAUUUCAUCGCUACGUCGAAAGAUUCGUUUGAUUAGAAGAAAUUCUUUUUCUUUCGAUGAAAUUCGAUGAAGUAAUCGAUGAAGUUUUUUAAUUAUUUUCCUUACAAGAAGGCACCGAUUGUAAAAGUCAUAAUGACUAAUCAUCGGGUUAAGCAAUUUUGAAUAUUUUCAUUCCUUUAACAUUAAACAGUUUAUAUUCCUUUAACAUUAAACAGGAUAAGUCGAAAAUGAUUUUUGGAAAUCAAUUAAUGCUCUUUCUCUACAAAUAUUUUUGACAUAAAAAUGUUAAAGCACAUAACUUUUAUUCAGAAAAUUGAAGUGUAAUAUUAUAUCAAGUAAAUAUUUACUAAGUAGAUAUUUACGAGUGUGCUAUCACCAAUCUAUCCUUACUUCUACUAGUGCUGUUACUACUACUACUAUUGAAUAAGACUACUUUAUCAACAAUGAGAAAGUGAAUGACUUUAACUCUCCUCGUCAGCUCUUUUACAAGAAGGAGAUAUCAUCUUUGGAUAAUUCUCGUGCAGGCGUCAAAGUCUCUCGCAAUCGAUACCUCCAAGAUAAAACAAACACGGUAGUCGUAGAUAUCAGAUGUAAAAUUAUCUAAGACAUCUUUCUAAGAUGAAUAUGUAUACAUAUGUGUAUAUAUGUAUGUAUGUAUGUAUGCAUGUAUAUAGAUAUACAACUAUUCUAUAGUUUACAUAUGUUUAGCUAUGAGUAAUUGUAUUUGAUAAUGGCUCACACGACAGUCAUCUAUGCGUUUCUUUUAUCGGCGAGUGCAAAGUCAGUAAUAAUGAUUUUAUAAUCACGGCUAUUAAAAAUAUUUGUCGAUAACUCAAAAAAAAAAAAAAGAAAAAGAAGAA